UCAAAAUCAGGCGGAUUUCACGAGCAGAGGUUCCUCUUUCACAGAAGUCACAAGAUUGGGACAUGAACUCUAAAGCUAUCCUUUUAAAAAGCAGCAUUUUCAAAAGCAGCUAGCCAUCUUGAUUUUCAGUCACCUUCAUGAGACCUCAGCUCAAAAGGUACAGUAUUUUGAAAGUCGGACAUAUUUCAGGUGUCUCAAGUUACUACAGGUUGGUGGAACAACAGCAGGAUAUUAAUAUGUCCAUAAGAUGGCUCUCAGGAGAAAUAACUUCUGUGAGGAAGCAAGCUUAUUUCAGUGGGAUAGGAACAAUCAACUUCACCUGCAUGUUUCCAAGCAUGUGUUUUCAACAUUCUUUGCUGACCACAGGUGUAUCGACAAAUUAAACACCGGUACAUGCCAUACUGCUCUGUUGGACCAAUGACGGUUUCAGAAAUCAGUACAGCUUCCUGUUCUCCAAUAUUUGGCAUCAAUACUGCAACACUGCUUCCUUCUUCCA